rnacentral:lncRNA from 1 species
GACACUCUUUUAGAAAAGUUGUACCAAAUAAAACGAUUUUCCCCCUUUUAAGUUAAAAAAUCUAAGUUUUUCUUUUCUUUUCUUCAACAGUAAUAUGACCCCUUGCCUGAGGGACAGUCCCUCAUUUAAGGGAUAUCCCUCAUAUGGGGAUUGUUCCCAACCUGUUUAUCUUCGUGAUCGCUUGUGGCUGUGUGCCUUUUCUGUUGUUUUGAUACUUUUUUUUUCAAUUCAACGAUUUCCAUUCAACUAUCCGUUUUAGUUGACUUAUAUGGCUUAGAAUUUUCCUUAUCACCAUCGUCAUCUGCCUUUUCAUUCCCCCGAUUAAUAAAAGAAAUCAUUGAAAUUUGACGAUCCGCCAUUUUUG